CGUGAUGUAACUGAAUAUUUCUAAAAGAGUCGCCGAACAACCCACUCGCUCAUAUCGUGUUAUUUUUGUGUGAAAAGUUGUAUAACAAAAAGUAGCCAAUACCACAAGGUGAAAGGUUUUCACUUAUUCCUCUGUAUUUGUUCUGUUAAACAUUCAGGUCCAAGACGGAAAACCGUCUCUUUGUUUUAGACGGAAAAAACGUAUAUAACACUAUUACAGUUUACCCUUUUGCGUGGUUCGAUAACGUUUCUCUGUGACCAACAACAGUUUUUUUUAAGUUUCGAGGACCCCCACUACUAUAUUUAGUCAUCGCGAAGUCUCCCGAGAAGAUACGUCAUCCGAGACUGAAUCAAAAUGGAGAACUUGAGGGAGCCACAAACAUCGCUGGAUUGGCCAUCCGAAUCCGAUGCUACUCGUAUGUUUGAUCGGGUGUGAUCGAGGCACGUGAUCAACUUACCCGCUAAAUCUGACAGGUGUCAGGUGACAGAUUGAGACUGGACAGCAAACGGAACGGACGAUUACCACCGAAGUUAGCUCCACCUCGAUCUCACCAUCAUCUCGCUCUCGCUGUAAGAUUCCUCAUGAUGUUGCAGAUAACGCCAUCCCCAUCAAGUCCUGGUUCAGCGAUGCCACAGACACAGCACUUCUCUGCCUCAUGCCUAUGUUAGAUGCUCUCAGGUUUUGCGGCGACAUGCGCAGCGUCCUCAGUCGGAAUUUACAUCUACAGUGGUAUACAAACUCACUAUGAAAAUCUUCCUCAUUUAGUCAUUGUAGAAAUUCUUUGGAUACUUCAGACAUUGUGCAAGAUUGGAAGAAAAAUUAUUGGCAAGUUUGAAAAAAGAAAUUAUAUAUAUUAUGAUUAAACUUAGUGGGUUAAGUUCCAAACACUAUCAAGAAGUUUGUUGAUUUAAUUCAAAAUUAUUUGCAUAAUAGUAUUUUUCAAAACAAAUAAUCCAUUGUCUGGAGCCAGUCUUCAGUUUGUGUCUAGACUAUGUUAUUAGUUAUAUGUGUAACAUUUAGCAUUGUCUCGGAGUUAAUAGGUAUUCCUUAACUGGUAGUCUGGAGUUGAGUUCGAAUCCCGGAUGGGACUCAACCCAAAAAAGUACAAGAAUCUGUACUUUACUAAGAAAGUGUUAUCCCAAAUAUAACAUUUGUUACAUUUGACCACUUUCUAAAAUGGCAUUGUGUAUUCCAGAGAUGAUUGUGUGAUUAUUUCUCAAACUGUUGUAUUCUCCUCCUUCCUUGUGGAUGUUCAGUAGUUGAUAGAUGACAAUCAGGUGCGGAGACAAUCCCAUGCAUCAUGAUGUGUAAUCAAACAAAACUCACCUUGUUGAGGAUUGAUGAGCAAAACUCAUUGUUUUAUAUUUAAAUGAAGUAAUGUGCAGUGUUUCUUCUGAAUAGAUUUUCCCUAAGAUUGCUGGAUGCAUCGGAGGCAAGAAUCCUGAUUUCCUGGCUUCAUGUCAGGAUUUCUGACAUGCAGUGUAAUGUAUAUGAACAGAGCAUAAGUUAUUACUUGGAAAAGUGUUUCAAAUGAUUCAAAGCUCAAAUGUUUUUCAAAUAGUAUUUUUUUUCAUGCCAAGGUCAGUCAUUAGUAUACAAAAUUGUAUUUUUCAAGUUAUUACUCAACUCCAACAUGAUUUGUCACUCAGUUAUCCAGGGUAUUAUAUGUCCAUUCUAUUAAAAUAAAUACCUUGGAUCCAUCCACCGCCCUCUUCAUUUGGAUUCCAGUUUGAAUGACACAACGAGUGAAGUAGCUCCCUCCUAAAUUACUCUACACUGUAAUAUUUGACAGAACCAGUGCCAUGGACAAAGUUCCAUUGUUGCAAACAGUCUAAAAAAAUACAAUGUUGGACGUCUGAUAGAAUGGCUGUAUAAUACAGUGGAUACAGGAGGGUGACUAGACACUGGAGGAACUGAUACACAUCCUUUGUGUGCACCAUGUUACCUCACAGCACCAGGAUGUUUCUCUGUGGUGUUGUUGCCAUUGGACUUAGUCACAAUAUUCGAGACUUUGUACUUGGAUUCUUUGAGAAGGCUUGAGAUGCUUACAGGCUGUUGGUACAAAGAAGGUGAAUGCAGCCGUCUUUGAGAUUACAAAUCAAUGUAACCUCUUGAGUGUGUAAGGGGAGGCAAAGAUUCAUAUGUAAAUAUUGCUGUAAUUUAUGAGUAUUGAACCAAAUUGUUUCAGAAUUAAAGAUCAAAAUUUGGAAACUCAGGGUUUAACAUUUUGGUUGUUGGAACUAUUAACUAUUUAUUAUUAUUAGAUUAUUGGAUGUCAAGUUCUUUAUUAUGAGGAGAACAACGUUUCAGGGCAUUAGCCAUAAGGCAGAGAGCACACAUGGGUGCAUGUAAGGACACCCUAUUUAUAAGAUAACAAAAGGUGGGAAAAUAACAAAGGGAAGCCAACAGAUUACAGGUGAUUAGCAAUAGACAAUGGAAGCGACAUUAGAAAUCAUCCAGUCACGGCUAUGAUCUUGUGAGAAGAUCCUGGAGAGAUGGUGUAGGUGACUUUUGAAACUAUAAUGGCAAAUGAGUGCUUUCUCAUGUUCGCUACGAACUUGUACACUGUUUUUGUGCAACUGGACACAACUGUUCAUUGCGCUAUUGUAGCUCAUGUGAAUUUAAAGCAUAUUCUAUUGUAUCUGUUCUUUCGCAUGAUGUCAUAAAUAUACGUUUAGAUCAGGAAAUCAUAUGAGGGGGUAUGUGUUGGCUCUUUCAGUUGGAAGCAAUACAUGAGUGCUUCGCACUGAGCAAUGUUCCAAAUACACGGCUCUGGACCGCCCAUUUAACCCGACAUUUAUGGGUACAUGUCAAAGGCACCGGGUGUUCAUGCUCCGGUUUCUGAUGCAGACCGCCGUCAAAGCAGGAAUAUUGCCGAGUUUGGCAUUCGAGAUGUUUUGUGAUGAAAGCCCGCAAAAGCAAUUUCAAGCUAGCAAUCAGUGUCAACCUGUUCACCUGAACUCUACUGUUGUGAUUCUCAAUCGUGUAAUAUUUUCCUUCGCAGUAAUGUGCGGGCGAACCUCGACCAUCUGUAAUAUUGUGUGAA